UGUAUACUGGCUGAAAUUUCUACGUCUCAAAAGUUCAAGUGUCAAAAUUAAAAAGUGAGUCAAUUCCUUCCGGUGGCGUCUGGUCGCCAUUUUGUUCGCAAUAAAUUAGUGUUGUAGGAUUGUGUCGCUUUUUAUCGGGGGAAAAUGUCACGUUACGGUGACUGCAAAGUAUAUGUGGGAGAUUUAGGCAACAAUGCAAGCAAGCCUGAACUUGAAGAUGCAUUUUCAUAUUACGGACCCUUGAGAAAUGUGUGGGUUGCUAGAAACCCACCCGGCUUCGCUUUUGUAGAAUUUGAAGACCCCCGGGAUGCCGAAGACGCUAUACGCGGCUUAGAUGGAAGAACAAUAUGUGGACGACGUGCUCGUGUAGAAAUGUCCAAUGGGGGACGAGGUUACGGGGGCCGUGGGCCGCCACCUAGGUCUCGCCUGCCGCCUCGGCCCUAUGACGACCGCUGUUAUGACUGUGGAGACAGAGGACAUUAUGCUCGUGAUUGUACACGCCGCCGCCGCCGCAGGUUAUCAUUGGCCUGUGCGCCGAGAACGAACUCGUCAGUGUCUGCACUUCUUAUUGUCUGCGCUACGUAGCUUUCACUCCGCGGCGUGUACUCCGAUUGAGUUGGUCGCAUCAUUACUUCGCUCGCUCUGCGAACUACGUAGCUACAGCCUACGUGCACACUUCACUUGUCGAGACCGUCAUUGAGAGUAAAGUUCGUUCUGCGCGUCGCAACGCACGUCUAAUGUAAUCACUGCGUGCACUCACCGAUCAAGGUCCCGCCGCCGCACGCGCUCCCGCUCUCCGCGCUCGGGCUCCCGCUCCCGCAGCCGCAGCCGCUCUCGCUCGCGCUCCAAGGCACGAUCCAUGUCGCGGUCAAGAUCUCGUUCUCCAUCCAAAGAUUC